rnacentral:misc_RNA from 1 species
UGGGCUUGACAUGUUGGUGUCCCGAAGGAAAACCGUGUUUCCACGGCGGUCACCAACAUGUCAAGCCCAGGUAAGGUUCUUCGCGUUGCGUCGAAUUAAACCACAUGCUCCGCUGCUUGUGCGGGCCCCCGUCAAUUCCUUUGAGUUUUAGCCUUGCGGCCGUACUCCCCAGGCGGGGCACUUAGUGCGUUAGCGACGGCACGGGAGGAGUCGACACCUCCCACACCUAGUGCCCAUCGUUUACGGCGUGGACUAC